UACGUAGGGGGCAAGCGUUUGUCCGGAAUUAUUGGGCGUAAAGCGCGCGCAGGCGGCUAUUUAAGUCUGGUGUUUAAACCUUGGGCUCAACCUGGGGUCGCACUGGAAACUGGGUGGCUUGAGUACAGAAGAGGAAAGUGGAAUUCCACGUGUAGCGGUGAAAUGCGUAGAGAUGUGGAGGAACACCAGUGGCGAAGGCGACUUUCUGGGCUGUAACUGACGCUGAGGCGCGAAAGCGUGGGGAGCAAACAGG
rnacentral:rRNA from 1 species